rnacentral:rRNA from 1 species
CCUACGGGAGGCAGCAGUGAGGAAUAUUGGACAAUGGGCGCGAGCCUGAUCCAGCCAUGCCGCGUGCAGGAUGACGGUCCUAUGGAUUGUAAACUGCUUUUGCACAGGAAGAAACAACUCUACGUGUAGAGUCUUGACGGUACUGUGAGAAUAAGGAUCGGCUAACUCCGUGCCAGCAGCCGCGGUAAUACGGAGGAUCCAAGCGUUAUCCGGAAUCAUUGGGUUUAAAGGGUCCGUAGGCGGUUUAGUAAGUCAGUGGUGAAAGCCCAUCGCUCAACGGUGGAACGGCCAUUGAUACUGCUAGACUUGAAUUAUUAGGAAGUAACUAGAAUAUGUAGUGUAGCGGUGAAAUGCUUAGAGAUUACAUGGAAUACCAAUUGCGAAGGCAGGUUACUACUAAUGGAUUGACGCUGAUGGACGAAAGCGUGGGUAGCGAACAGGAUUAGAUACCCUGGUAGUCCACGCCGUAAACGAUGGAUACUAGCUGUUGGGCGCAAGUUCAGUGGCUAAGCGAAAGUGAUAAGUAUCCCACCUGGGGAGUACGUUCGCAAGAAGAGAAGUAAAGUAGAGUAGAGNGNGAGAGNGACGAGACGACGACGAGGGAGAGG